AACGUAGGUACCGAGCGUUAUCCGGAUUUACUGGGCGUAAAGCGUGUUCAGGCGGCCUGGCAAGUCGGGCGUGAAAUCCCUCGGCUUAACCGGGGAACUGCGUCCGAUACUGGUUGGCUUGAGUUUGGGAGAGGGAUGCGGAAUUCCAAGGUGUAGCGGUGAAAGUGACGUAGAUAUCUGGAGGAACACCGGUGGCGAAGGCGGCAUCCUGGACCAAUACUGACGCUGAGGAGCGAAAAGCCAGGGGAAGCAAACGGGG
rnacentral:rRNA from 1 species